CACGUAGGGCGCAAGCGUUGUCCGGAAUUAUUGGGCGUAAAGAGCUCGUAGGCGGUCUGUUACGUCUGCUGUGAAAACCCAGGGCUUAACCCUGGGCUUGCAGUGGAUACGGGCAGACUAGAGGCAGGUAGGGGAGAAUGGAAUUCCCGGUGUAGCGGUGAAAUGCGCAGAUAUCGGGAGGAACACCGGUGGCGAAAGCGGCUUCCUGGUCCAGCACCGACGUUCAGGCACGAAAGCGUGGGGAGCAAACAGG
rnacentral:rRNA from 1 species